rnacentral:rRNA from 1 species
UACGUAGGGGGCAAGCGUUAUCCGGAUUUACUGGGUGUAAAGGGGGCGCAGACGGCGAUGCAAGCCAGGAGUGAAAGCCCGGGGCCCAACCCCGGGACUGCUCUUGGAACUGCGUGGCUGGAGUGCAGGAGGGGCAGGCGGAAUUCCUGGUGUAGCGGUGAAAUGCGUAGAUAUCAGGAGGAACACCGGUGGCGAAGGCGGCCUGCUGGACUGCAACUGACGUUGAGGCCCGAAAGCGUGUGGAGCAAACAGG